AUUAGGUGCCUUCUCUGUUUUCUCUCUCUCUCCCACUUAGAAGGCUAGAAGGAAAGGACUCUGAGGGAGUGGAAUCACAAGACGGAAGGGGGUUCUGAGCUACCGUUUGGAGAAAUGCCGUACGGGAGAGCCCCCUGACCUACAAGGGAAGAAAUAAGUCUCAGUGGUGAUAAGCAAGUGAGAGUUCAGGUCACAAAACCAGUAAGCAAUCGACCUGGAAUCUGAACCUGAGGAGAAUGUGUCUCCAAAGUCUGUGUCAUCACUAUGUCAUCCUGGAUGGACGAGCGCACAGGUCCUUACAUGGUGAAUGGAAAUAACCACUCUAAGCAACUCACAAGCUGAGACUUUGAAAUAACCAGCUGUUGUCAGAGCACAAACUCAUGCGCGUAGGGCCCUGCCACUUGGAGUCCCUCCCCCAGCUCUUUUGAAAUGGAACCAGGCCACACGUGCUAAACACGGGCCCAGCUCUGGCAGUGAGGCAUACAUGGGAAGCAGUGGGAUGAGGCAGUAACUUUCACUCGCUGGGUAAAAGGUUACAAUAAUGUCCUCCGCGCAAAGUUUCCUGAAAGAAUGUUGGGUAGCUAGCUGAAGUCAAAACGAAGUGACUUCACCAAUGACUGAAGAGGAGUCUGCCAUCUGUGCUGUAACCCAUUUAUGGUAGAUGGCAGGGAGUAAGACGGGCAUGUCAAUUAAAUUCAGCCAAAGCUAUAAGAAUAUAUAACUGCUUGAGUAUUAUGCUCAGUUUUUUUAUUGUUACAUUAAAAACUGACUCUCCGGCUACUUCUACUGAGUCAAAUCUAUAGACACAAAGAAGUAUAAAGUAGAAGGGAACUUAGAGUUUAGUUAAUCUAACAGUUUCCAGAUUUUUGGA